GGCCGGUUAGCUCAGUUGGUUAGAGCGUGGUGCUAAUAACGGCAAGGUCAUGGGUUCGAUCCCGAUAGUGGCCA
rfam:Salmo salar isolate Sally breed double haploid chromosome ssa27, whole genome shotgun sequence.